AUCAGUUAGUUGGCGGGGAAAAAGCCCACCAAGGAGACGACGGGUAGCUGGAUCAAGAGGACGACCAGCCACACUGGAACUGAGACACGGUCCAGACACCUACGGGUGGCAGCAGUCGAGAAUCUUUCACAAUGGGGGCAACCCUGAUGGAGCGACGCCGCGUGGAGGAUAAGGUCUUCGGAUUGUAAACUCCUGUCAUGCGAGAACAAGGUUGCAGGGAUAAUACCUUUGCAAAUUGAUGGUACCGCAAGAGGAAGAGACGGCUAACUCUGUGCCAGCAGCCGCGGUAAUACAGAGGUCUCAAGCGUUGUUCGGAAUCACUGGGCGUAAAGGGUGCGUAGGUGGCGUGGAAAGUCAGAUGUGAAAGCCCGGGGCUCAACCUCGGAAUUGCAUCCGAUACUACCAUGCUAGAGCACUGAAGAGGUGACUAGAAUUCUCGGUGUAGCAGUGAAAUGCGUAGAUAUCGAGAGGAAUACCAACGGCGAAGGCAGGUCACUGGGCAGUUACUGACACUGAGGCACGAAGGCUAGGGUAGCGAACGGGAUUAGAUACCCCGGUAGUCCUAGCAGU
rnacentral:rRNA from 1 species